rnacentral:lncRNA from 1 species
UUUGAUACAAGUAGUUGAUAAGUUGCAUUGUCUUUGUUAUUUCACCGAUUUUCUACAUAUGUUUGAUUUGGACUUGUGCUUAAACACAUCGAUUCUUUAUGUGAUACGUAAUUGCAUGAUUAGUUUAUGUGUGUGACCUAUAAGCAGAGCACGUAGCCGAGCUUGUUUGUGUCAUGAUGUUGAAUGAAACCGGUAGUCUAAUUCAAAGUAUGUCUAUGUCAUAGGAACCACGUAGGAACUUAUGUGCAUAUCAAAUAUAGGUUGUGUAUUUGCUCACAGUGUGGACUUAAUUGAGAUUAGAGAUCGUCUUCUUUGUUCUUGCAUGGUUGUUUGGUUGUGUUUGCAUGAUUGUUGGUUGAUCACAUGUAAAUAUGUAUAGAGGUAAUUUAGGAUUUAUUUCCAAUGUCUAUUCCGAAAUCAUCAAACCUUUAAACCCUAUAUGCUUAUUUCGACAUUUAUAUUAGGUUAGUGGAUUUACCCUGUAGUUGGAUCCCCGGUUUAGAACGAUCCAUGCUUGCUUUAUACCACGAUUGAUUUGUUGACAGGGUUAAUUGAUGCGUGUGCAAAUACGUUUUAUCAACUAAGGACUCAAAUUGACAUGCAUAUAUAUUAAGUUACCAACAUUGAAUCCUUAGAUGUCUCUCGGCUUAACUAGAAAGCCUUUAAAGAAACCGUGUGAUCUAGUUUAAAAAAAGAGAAAAUGCCCUAAUGCCUAAAUAUUUAAAACUAAAGCCCAUUUCAAUUAAAGUCUUAUCAUUGUGCCCAUUCCAAUAAUUCUUGAGAAAAAGACGUUAUUACCCUGUGUUUAAUUAAACCCACACAAUUCUUAUCUCUUUCUUCUUCUUCUUUCUUCCCGAUCCAUCUGGAUUCCUCUCUCUCUCUCUCUCUCUCUCU